GACGAACGCUGGCGGCGUGCCUAAUACAUGCAAGUCGAACGAGUGGCGGACCGGUGCGUAACACGUGGGUGAUCUGCCUUGCUCUCUGGGUUAAGCUUGGGAAACUGGGUCUAAUACCGGAUAGUGCAAGAUGAGCUCGCGGCCUAUCAGCUUGUUGGUGGGGUAAUGGCUACCAAGGCGCGACGGGUAGCCGGCCUGAGAGGGGUUGCGGCGACAUUGGGUCUGAGAUACGGCCCAGGCUCCUACGGGUGGCAGCUGUGGGAAAUAUUGCACAAUGCGCGGAAGCCUGAUGCAGCGACGCCGGGUGGGGUAAGACGUGCUUCGGGGAGAGAACGCCUGUCGACGGGGACGCGGUGCCUGCAGAAGAAGCACCGGCUAACUACGUGCCAGCAGCCGCGGUAAUUC
rnacentral:rRNA from 1 species